rnacentral:rRNA from 1 species
CUGAGUGGCGGACGGGUGAGUAACGCGUGGGUAACCUGCCCUGUACAGGGGGAUAACAGCUGGAAACGGCUGCUAAUACCGCAUAAGCGCACGAGGAGACAUCUUCUUGUGUGAAAAACUCCGGUGGUACAGGAUGGGCCCGCGUCUGAUUAGCUGGUUGGCAGGGUAACGGCCUACCAAGGCAACGAUCAGUAGCCGGUCUGAGAGGAUGAACGGCCACAUUGGAACUGAGACACGGUCCAAACUCCUACGGGAGGCAGCAGUGGGGAAUAUUGCACAAUGGGGGAAACCCUGAUGCAGCAACGCCGCGUGAGUGAAGAAGGCUUUCGGGUUGUAAACUUCUUUUGUCGGGGACGAGUAGAAGACGGUACCUGGCGAAUAAGCCACGGCUAACUACGUGCCAGCAGCCGCGGUAAUACGUAGGUGGCAAGCGUUGUCCGGAUUUACUGGGUGUAAAGGGAGUGUAGGCGGGAUAUCAAGUCAGAAGUGAAAAUUACGGGCUCAACUCGUAACCUGCUUUUGAAACUGACAUUCUUGAGUGAAGUAGAGGCAAGCGGAAUUCCCGGUGUAGCGGUGGAAUGCGUAGAUAUCGGGAGGAACACCAGUGGCGAAGGCGGUCUACUGGGCACCAACUGACGCUGAGGCUCGAAAGCAUGGGUAGCAAACAGGAUUAGAUACCCUGGUAGUCCAUGCCGUAAACGAUGAUUACUAGGUGUUGGGGGAUUGACCCCCUCAGUGCCGCAGUUAACACAAUAAGUAAUCCACCUGGGGAGUACGACCGCAAGGUUGAAACUCAAAGGAAUUGACGGGGGCCCGCACAAGCAGUGGAGUAUGUGGUUUAAUUCGAAGCAACGCGAAGAACCUUACCAGGUCUUGACAUCCGAUGCAUAGCACAGAGAUGUGUGAAAUCCUUCGGGACAUCGAGACAGGUGGUGCAUGGUUGUCGUCAGCUCGUGUCGUGAGAUGUUGGGUUAAGUCCCGCAACGAGCGCAACCCUUAUUGCCAGUUACUACGUUAAGAGGACUCUGGCGAGACUGCCGUUGACAAAACGGAGGAAGGUGGGGAUGACGUCAAAUCAUCAUGCCCUUUAUGACCUGGGCUACACACGUACUACAAUGGCGUUAAACAAAGAGAAGCAAGACCGCGAGGUGGAGCAAAACUCAAAAACAACGUCUCAGUUCAGAUUGCAGGCUGCAACUCGCCUGCAUGAAGUCGGAAUUGCUAGUAAUCGCGGAUCAGCAUGCCGCGGUGAAUACGUUCCCGGGCCUUGCAAUCACCGCCCGUCA